rnacentral:rRNA from 1 species
GUGCAGCAGACGAGAAUUUUUCUCAAUGGGGGAAACCCUGAAGGAGCGACGCCGCGUGGAGGAUGAAGGUCUUCGGGUUGUAAACUCCUGUCAUUUGGGAACAAGUGCCAACAAGUAACUACUGUUGGCUUGAUAGUACCAGAAGAGGAAGAGACGGCUAACUCUGUGCCAGCAGCCGCGGUAAUACAGAGGUCUCAAGCGUUGUUCGGAUUCAUUGGGCGUAAAGGGUGCGUAGGUGGCGCCGUAAGUCAGGUGUGAAAUUUCGGAGCUUAACUCCGAAACUGCAUUUGAUACUGCGGUGCUUGAGGACUGGAGAGGAGACUGGAAUUUACGGUGUAGCAGUGAAAUGCGUAGAGAUCGUAAGGAAGACCAGUGGCGAAGGCGGGUCUCUGGACAGUUCCUGACACUGAGGCACGAAGGCCAGGGGAGCAAACGGGAUUAGAUACCCCCGU